CAGCAGCCGCGGGAAUACGUAGGGUGCGAGCGUUAAUCGGAAUUACUGGGCGUAAAGCGUGCGCAGGCGGUUGUGUAAGACAGGUGUGAAAUCCCCGGGCUUAACCUGGGAACUGCGCUUGUGACUGCACAGCUAGAGUAUGGCAGAGGGGGGUGGAAUUCCACGUGUAGCAGUGAAAUGCGUAGAGAUGUGGAGGAACACCGAUGGCGAAGGCAGCCCCCUGGGCCAAUACUGACGCUCAUGCACGAAAGUGUGGGGAGCAAACAGGAUUAGAUACCCCUGUAGUCCCUGUCUCUUAUAC
rnacentral:rRNA from 1 species